UGUAGAUUUACUGCAGGUGUAAUUUGAGCAUUUGGAUGUAAUUGUAUGAGUACAUAGAAGUGUGUAUGUAUUGCAGCUUAAGUAGGAAUAUUUUGAUUGCAGACUUGUUCAGAGCAGAUGUCGAACAGUUUCAGAUACUGGAAGAGGCUAUGCAAAGUGUGGAACAUCCACUUGCCUGAAUUUUAAUGUUCAGAUGCAUUCGCAGCAGAGUGGGGAGCAGGAUCUGGAAACCAGAAAAACCCCCACCACAAGGAGAAGAUUGAUGAAGACCAGUGAGUUCACCUCUUUAAGAAAACAGAGUCCGGCAGCAGCUGAAACAUUAUACUGAUGGCUGGAGACCCUGCAGCAGUGUGGAAGAAGCAAUUGGCCGUCUUCAGCACUCCAAAUACAAAACUUCAUCAAGAAGUUGAUAAGAGGUGAAAGGAAAAGGGUGUGGGCCAGGGAAGGAGAAGAAUGUCUUCGAAAAAACAGAGGCCUUAUAGUCCUAGAGCUGUACAGCAUGGAAACAGACUUCAGUCCAAUCAUCCAUGCCAACCAGAUAUCCUAAAUAUCUACUACCAUUUGCCAGCAUUUGGCCCAUAUCCCUCUAAAUUCUUUCUAUUCAUAUACCCAUCCAGAUGCCUUAAUGAAGGAGUCCUUGUAGGGAGCAAGAGAAGGCUGCCAGAAUAAAAUUAGCUAUCCCAAAGGGAAAAGGCAGUAAUUUUAAGAAUGUGGCACAAAGGAUGAUGACAUAUGAGCUUUUUAGGGUUAUUUAAACUUUAAGACUUAAGUCAAUCCCAAUUAUAAACUGAGUUGACAGAACAAUCUAGAGUUUUACUAAUUCUGAUUAGUUACAAGAUCCAUUCCAGGUACAAAGGUUUUCACAAUUUUUACUGAAUUUAUUCUCAUAACAAGUAGAAAAACAAUGAAAGAAAAAUAAUGGACAUAUGCCUCUCGUUGUUUUCUGCUGACUCAAGUUUUUCUUCUGUUUUUCUUUCUUGUACAGCAAACCAUUUGUUAACUCUUGACAGCCACUACCUGCAUGGUCAGAGAUAUCCUGACCUUGUCAAUAAAGGGAAAUUAUGUGAUCAAUCCCAGAUUGGCACCAUGGCAUAUGCACAAUUCAUGACCGGCUCCUCCUAAAAGUGAGUCACAUAGUGAUAGCACUUCAUGUAGGUUGUUCUGUUUCAAUGGGACAGUAGUGUACCUCUGCAACCUCACACUAUAGAAAAUCACACUAUGGAAAACCACUUUAGAAAAUUGCGCUGUAGAAGAUUGCUAAUAGAAAAUUGCUAUACCUGUUCAUUGGAAAGUUCACGUUAUCCAAACAACAUCCACAAUUCGUCAAUCGUGUUAUAGCCGAUUCGCUUUCGAGAAGAAUGACCUGUAUUGUCUUCUGAUUUGUUAGUUAAUACGCCUAUCACUUUGUAUGAUCACUUCUUUUGUAACAGUUUGUCUGUAACAAGCUUACAUCUUUAUUGAUGUUUGGCAUCAGCAGCGUAAACUGUCCAACUGCAUGGAGUAUGCAUUGUGCUCUUCCCCCAUCAGUGAUUUAAUAUCAUCCCAAAUGCCUCGAAGAUUUGUAUCGGAAGUGUUCUACAAAAUCUAUCAAUAUUCUUUAACUACCAGAACCCUGUGUAACUCCACAAUGACUAUUGAUGCGUAAACAAACUAAACCUCAAAUAAACCAUGCAAAAUAUUAUUAAACAAGAAUGUUUCAUAAUUUAAAUUCAAAAA